rnacentral:lncRNA from 1 species
ACAACAAUAACAACAACCACAUCCACAACAACAACAACAACAACAACAACAACAACAACAACAACAAGAAGAAGAAUAACAACAACUACCACCACAACAACAACAACCACCAUGACCACCACCACCACCACAAGAACAACAACGAUGACGAUGACGGCGACAAUGACGUCAACAAAGACAAUGACCACAACAACAACAACAACAACAACAACAACAAUAACACAACCACAUCAAUAAUAAUAACAACAACAAAAACAACAACAACAACAAC